AGUGAACGCUGGCGGUAGGCCUAACACAUGCAAGUCGAACGGCAGCACAGUAAGAGCUUGCUCUUACGGGUGGCGAGUGGCGUACGGUUGAGGAAUACAUCGGAAUCUACUUUUUCGUGGGGGAUAACGUAGGUAAACUUACGCUAAUACCGCAUACGACCUACGGUUGAAAGCAGGGGAUCUUCGGACCUUGCGCGUUUGAAUGAGCCGAUGUCGGAUUAGCUAGUUGGCUGGGUAAAGGCCCACCAAGGCGACGAUCCGUAGCUGGUCUGAGGGGAUGAUCAGAAAAACUGGAACGGAGAAACGGAAAAGACAAAUACGGGAGGCAGCAGUGGGGAAUAUUGGACAAUGGGCGCAAGCAUGAUAAAGCAAUACCGCGUGGGUGAAGAAGGACUUUGGGUUGUAAAGACCUUUUGUUGGGAAAGAAAAGAAGCAGGUUAAUACCCCGCUGUUAUGACGGUACCCAAAGAAUAAGCACCGGCUAACUUCGUG
rnacentral:rRNA from 1 species